rnacentral:rRNA from 1 species
CUUAACACAUGCAAGUCUAUGAGGAAGUUUAGCUUGCUAAAUGGACUCAUGGCGGACGGGUGAGUAACGCGUAAAGAACUUGCCCUUUAGACUGGGAUAACAGAGGGAAACUUCUGAUAAUACUGGAUAAGUUAGUAUAUCGCAUGAUAUGCAAAUGAAAGCUACGGCACUAAAGGAGAGCUUUGCGUCCUAUUAGCUAGUUGGUAAGGUAAGAGCUUACCAAGGCGAUGAUAGGUAGCCGGCCUGAGAGGGUGGACGGCCACAAGGGGACUGAGAUACGGCCCUUACUCCUACGGGAGGCAGCAGUGGGGAAUAUUGGACAAUGGAGGAAACUCUGAUCCAGCAAUUCUGUGUGUGUGAAGAAGGUUUUAGGACUGUAAAACACUUUUAGUAGGGAAGAAAAAAAUGACGGUACCUACAGAAGAAGCAACGGCUAAAUACGUGCCAGCAGCCGCGGUAAUACGUAUGUUGCGAGCGUUAUCCGGAAUUAUUGGGCUUAAAGGGCAUCUAGGCGGUAAGACAAGUUGAAGGUGAAAACCUGUGGCUCAACCAUAGGCUUGCCUACAAAACUGUUGAACUAGAGUACUGGAAAGGUGGGUGGAACUACACGAGUAGAGGUGAAAUUCGUAGAUAUGUGUAGGAAUGCCGAUGAUGAAGAUAACUCACUGGACAGAAACUGACGCUGAAGUGCGAAAGCUAGGGGAGCAAACAGGAUUAGAUACCCUGGUAGUCCUAGCUGUAAACGAUGAUCACUGGGUGUGGGGAUGCGAAGUCUCUGUGCCGAAGCAAAAGCGAUAAGUGAUCCGCCUGGGGAGUACGUUCGCAAGAAUGAAACUCAAAGGAAUUGACGGGGCCCGCACNAGUGGUGGAGCAUGUGGUUUAAUUCGACGC